GUGCCAGCCGCCGCGGUAAUACCGGCAGCCCGAGUGAUGGCCGAUCUUAUUGGGCCUAAAGCGUCCGUAGCUGGCCGCGCAAGUCCAUCGGGAAAUCCACCUGCUCAACAGGUGGGCGCCCGGUGGAAACUGUCCGGCUUGGGGCCGGAAGAUCCGAGGGGUACGAUCGGGGUAGGAGUGAAAUCCUGUAAUCCCGCUCGGACCGCCGAUGGGGAAACCACCUCAGGAGAACGGAUCCGACAGUGAGGGACGAAAGCCAGGGUCUCGAACCGGAUUAGAUACCCGUGUAGUCC
rnacentral:rRNA from 1 species